rnacentral:lncRNA from 1 species
AUGCUUUCAAUUUAUAUCAGUAUCAUUCUAGUUUACAUCACAUCCCUAACAGGACUACUAGUAUAAUGGGAUCACACCUAAUAUCUCCAUUACUAUGUUUAAAACAUAUAAUACUAUCACUAUUCUAGGAAGCCCUGUAAUUUUAAAUAUAUGCUUUUUCUUAUCCACCAUAAUACCUAUCAUUUUACUAGUAUCUGCAGCCUGUGAGGCUGCCAUAGGCCUGGCAUUACUAACAAUGGUAUCUAGUACAUAUGGCUCAGAUUACAUAUAAAACUCAAAUCUUCUCCAAUGCUAG